AUUUUCUCACCUCAUACCAUGCCUGGUCAAUAAUACUAUCAAUAGGGUCAGAUAAUCUCCAUUGCCCUGCUCUCCAUAGAUCGCUAACCUUGGCCUUUCUAGGAAUAUCUGUAUCCUCAAUAUUAAUGGAAGGAUAUCUAUCAAUUAUACGUUUACCAUCUAGCCAUGGAUCAUGCCAAAAGGAGAAGUCCCCUCUUCCCAAUUUGUAUCAGUAGUACUCUUUAAACAUUCCUCUCGUACAUAUUAAGUGCCUCCAAGCCCAGUUUGCUUCAAGUGGUUUAGUUAUCCCCCAGUAGCUUAAAUGCUUUAGUUUAUUCUGCAUUACCCAUUUGGCCCAUAAGGAUGGCUUUGCAGUAAAUAAUUCCCAAAUUUGCUUCCUUAUUGCUGCGGCAUUCCAAGAU
rnacentral:lncRNA from 1 species